rnacentral:hammerhead_ribozyme from 1 species
ACUUUGCUGACGAGUGCCAAGUAGGACGAAACCCGAGUUCAAGGU